UGCAAUACACAAGAAUUACAUUCCAGUUUCUAUGCUGGAAUAAUGUCACAUACAACUUCAUUGGAAAUAACAGAUACUGUUUUUUUCACAGAAUCUCAGAAUGGCUGAGGUUGGAAAGGACCUCUGGAGAUCAUCUGGUCCAACUGACUUGCAAAGCAGGAUCGCCUAUAGCACAUUGCACAGGAUGACAUCCAGAAGGGUUCUGAAUAUCUCCAGAGAAGGAGACUCCACAACCUCUCUGGACAAUCUGAGCCAGUGCUCUGUCACCCUGAUCUCAGUCUUUUUCUCCAUCUUAAAAAUACUCCCAAACUAUUUAACUUAGAUUCUACAAAAUGACCAUGCUAGAUCAAAAGACUUUUUUUUGCGUUUACACGGGUAGAGAAACACACUUGAUCUGUAAGUUAAUACUUGGCCAUGAAAAAUGGAAAAUCAGUUUGUCUGUGGACAUGCAAGAGCAGCACAGAAAACACUGCAUGAGACACAUUAGAGUAUUCAGAACCACUGACAGAAAACUGGAUCUAGAAAGCCCAUGUUGUUCUUACUUUUCAUAUAGCUCAGUGACAUUUACUUAAGCCACUGGGAAUUUCUUGUGACUAAUUAUCUAAUCAGAGCAGCUGGAUCCAUGAACUACGUGGCAUACACUAACCCAGCCCUCAUUAACACGAGGAUUUAAUUUCUAAAAACAUUUAACACUGUACAGUAUUUAAAACCAUCUGACAUUUUUCACACGCUCCUAACCCUUCAAACUGCAUUAAGCAGGUCAAUAAACAGGACUUGUUCAACCAAGUUUUUGUUGUCAUUUUUGCAAGAAAACCACUUAUGAUGCAGAUGAUUAGGGGAGUUAGUACCGCUGUUCUUGGUGGAGCAUAAAGGCUGUAAUUCUGCAGGAGUUGUGCUACACAUUCAUAGUACACAAGGGAUCACUGUGACCCAUUGUGUAUACUGCAAAUGGUCGGCAAACUGAGCGAGUUAUGGGUUCAGAGAACAAUUAAAACAAUGAGAGCCACUGCCACUCUUUUAGUAUUAGAGAAGACAGACACCUUUCUUCAGCAGCUGUCAGGCAGCAGUCCCCCUACCAUUUAACAGUUUCUUGUGAUUUUUGGCAGCACAUAUCCCAUCUGAGCUAAGACUCAGAUGUUCCCUAUCUAAGAAGAGAAAGUAUCCCUUUUUUAAUGAGUACUAUACACUUGUACAGGCAGAACAAAACUAUUGCUUUGUACAGGCAGACUGAAACAGACUGAUUUCAGUCUCAUUGGCUGCCUAUCCCAGGCAGGACAGCCAUGGUGCUACUACGAGCAGAAACAAGGCCACAAGACUCACAGCUGCUUGAUGCAAUUCACAAUACAGUUCUGACAGAGGAAUGGCUGAUUGAUUUAUUCAAGUAACAUGUUCAUCUCCCAUGGGUCCAUUUUAAGAAAUGCAAACACUGUGCAAUUGCGCCUCCAGGCAAUGUAUACUUUCAUUUGUUAAAGAGGUGCAUUUCUCUUCUCCCUUCAUCCAUUCCAAUAGCCUAACUUAAUAAAAUAACCAGUUUCCUUCAAGAGUGUAUUUUCACUCUACUGUCUGAAAUAAUUCCUAUGACACACAGAAAUGGAAAAGGUACAAAUACACACUUGUUGUUUUGAGGAAUAUCAACCUUACAUAGCAUUGCAAGUUGCUAGAUUUAAAUAUCAUCUUUCUGAAACAUACCUGCUCCUACAAUUUCCUUAAUUCACGCAUUCAGACAAGACAGAAACAGAUGCUAUGAAAAAAACACAGCAAGAUGUCCCACGCGGAAGUGAAAAGGGGGCCAUAUUGCAUAUAGCUAAUGCA